rnacentral:rRNA from 1 species
UACGUAGGGUGCGAGCGUUGUCCGGAUUUAUUGGGCGUAAAGGGCUCGUAAGCGGUUUGUCGCGUCGGGAGUGAAAACCCAGGGCUUAACUCUGGGCUUGCUUUCGAUACGGGCAGACUAGAGGUAUGCAGGGGAGAACGGAAUUCCUGGUGUAGCGGUGAAAUGCGCAGAUAUCAGGAGGAACACCGGUGGCGAAGGCGGUUCUCUGGGCAUUACCUGACGCUGAGGAGCGAAAGUGUGGGGAGCGAACAGG